UGUAAAUGGUUUCAAUUUGUGGUUAUUGUGUAGCUUUGUGUAACUGUAUUGUUUAACUGUCGCAUUAGACUUGCCAGAGGCUUCAGGAGGAGACUGCAAGUCUAGCGGAACUUAAAAAAAGCUUGGCAAUAAGUGUGUCUCAGUUCUCUGUUGCUGAAAGCCACUCAGAUGAAGGGCAGAUGAUGAUGGGGUGAGGAGGAUAUACUAGAUCCUGCACAACUGAAGAGCUUAUAUAUGAGAAAUCUGUCCAUGUUUUACAUGAAGUUACAGGCAAAGCACCUGAUCCCUUCCUCCACAGUACAGUUAAUUGUAAAAGAGAUUAAUAAGCUCAGUGGAGUGUGCCAGCAGUACACAAAGAAUCAACUACAAGUAUCUCUUCAAACAAAAACUAAACUCUCUGAGACAGAAAUUGAAGAUGUUCUGAAAACCCUAGAUGGCAUGGAUAACAGAGAAAACAGUACUUUGAGGAAGAUUUUCCCUAUGUGCAUCCAAAAUGCAUUUUUCUUGGGAUUGAUGAAAACAGAAAGGAGUGACAUGCCCAGUAUAUUCCCAUAAAAGACACAUUAACAACUCUCCUGAAAGAACCUGCUGUGUGGAAAGAAUGGUGUACAUUUAGGAAUGAGAGUACACCUCUUAUUUUUAAUGAUGUAUGUGAUGGAUCUGCUCAACUAUGCAAAGUGAGAAGGUGCAUCUGAUUUCCCUUCCACUGGUGUGUAGUACUGGAUCUUUUUGGCCUGAUAAUCAUGCUUUUGUGCGUGUUACAGCUGAAGCGUUCCUGCCUAUAAAUGGAGACCCUCUUUAUGAAGAGGACCCAUGCUGGAGAGUUCCCUUCGCCCACCUCUGACCAGUUUGGGACGGUGUGUGUCGUCAUACAAAACACAAAACAUUCAUACAGUCUCUCUGCUUCUGUCACACACAGUACCACCAAACACAGUGUGAUCAUCUUCAUCUACAUCUCGACCUGAGGACAGUAAGCUGAGCGUCAGUAGUCCAUGCCACGUGCUCAGAUACCAGCAGAAAACAACAGAAAUUUUAUUUAGCCAUACAUAUGUUUUUAUAAAUCAUUUUAUUCUUUACAUAUAAUUUGAUCAUGUUUUAUUGAUUAUGCAUCAUUAGCCUGUAAAUGAUCAACAGUUGUGGUGUUUUUUUUGAGCGGUUGUAAUCCUGAUCCACGCUCAGACACAAACACUAGACCGGAUGCUGAAGCUGCACUCGCUAUUUUCGACAGGUCAGUCUGUUUACGGUGUUCGUGAAUUAUUGUAAGUACUGAUUUAAUGUUUAUGUUUUUAUCUCUAGAUCACAAUUACACUAAACUAUGUCUAAUGCAUAUCUUUAUCCAGAAUAUUCAUAAUCGUGUUCUUGGGCGGCCCGAUUCUCAACAGUGAAAAGGAUCAUUCAAGGAUGUGCAUUUAUUUCAUGUAGCCACGACACAAACAACAAAUUGCUCGUCACUAUAGCAACAGCAGACUCUCCAAGCUGGCGUGAGCGGGUGGAGGCGGGGCUAAUUAGCAUAUUCAUUGAUCCGUGUAUAUUAAAUGAGGCAACGGUGUAGAGUUACAUUCAAACUAUUAUAAUGCAUGAAGAAAUUUUUUCACUUGAAUUGUUUUUAAAAUAUAUCAUUUUGGUGAUCAAAGAUGAGUUUUAAGGGAUAAAAUAAUUGACUACAAGGGGACUUUAACCAUACACUGUUUUAUUGUUUUUAUCAAUUAAUUAAUAUUACCCAGAGCUUUUUCUAAUUACAAUGUAAUUACUUCACCUUAAAAUAAAUAUUAUAUAUAAUAUAUUAUCGGCCGACUAGCCUCUUCAGCUAGUUAGCACAGUAAUGCAUGUAAUUACUCACUUAAAACUUUCAUUUGGAAUAAUUAACUAGGUUUCAUUUACAUCCAAUUUGUUGGCAAUUUUAUUUAUUGUAUUUUCCAUUGCUGCUGACACAGUAAGCACUUUCACACUUAGCAGAGACAGACUUACUUUAAAUAGCAAUACAAAGGAGGAUUUAUAGAGUGUAAACUCAAUACUAACUUACACACUCUUCUUAAAUCUCAGUCAUGUCAGUUCAUAAUUCAUAGAUAUUGGUAAAGUGCUAAUGUGUUUUAUUGUAUGUUUUAACAAAGGCUACACUAGUGUUUUAUUCAGUUACGUUCAGCCCAAGCAAAGGCUGGAUAUCUAGUCUUUAUUCGUUUAUUAUCAAACACUGUGUUUCAUAUGCUGCAUAUCAUAUACCCAACACUUGAUUAGUUAACUACUCCACCAUGCAGUACUUUUCUUUCCUUUGCUUUUUAAAAAAAAAAAAAUUCUCUCAGAUUUGUUUUGCCUUCAUUGCUGCUUAACAAGUUAUCCCGCAAUUGGCCCUUCGCCAGAAGUUUGAUUGACAAGCGAUCUAACCAAUCAGAGCGCAGAAUCCGCCAUUUUGUCCGACAAAGCAGUCAGGAGUUAGAAGGUUAACCUCGGUGGAGUUAAAACUUGAAAAAU